rnacentral:misc_RNA from 1 species
GGGGAUAUCUAGCGAGGGCCCUCUGGGUCCACCUCCACCCGUGUUUAUCGUACCUUGUUGCUUCGGCGGGCCCGCCUCACGGCCGCCGGGGGGCAUCCGCCCCCGGGCCCGCGCCCGCCGAAGACACACAAACGAACUCUUGUCUGAAGAUUGCAGUCUGAGUACUUGACUAAAUCAGUUAAAACUUUCAACAACGGAUCUCUUGGUUCCGGCAUCGAUGAAGAACGCAGCGAAAUGCGAUAAGUAAUGUGAAUUGCAGAAUUCAGUGAAUCAUCGAGUCUUUGAACGCACAUUGCGCCCCCUGGUAUUCCGGGGGGCAUGCCUGUCCGAGCGUCAUUGCUGCCCUCAAGCACGGCUUGUGUGUUGGGCUCUCGCCCCCCGCUUCCGGGGGGCGGGCCCGAAAGGCAGCGGCGGCACCGCGUCCGGUCCUCGAGCGUAUGGGGCUUCGUCACCCGCUCUGUAGGCCCGGCCGGCGCCCGCCGGCGAACACCAUCAAUCUUAACCAGGUUGACCUCGGAUCAGGUAGGGAUACCCGCUGAACUUAAGCAAUAUAACGGGGGAAAAAAAAAAAGGGU